ACGGGCUUUUCCGGAUAUCUUCCACUCCUUGUCUCGAAGUUUGGUUCGUUGAAUUUUCCCUGUGACAGUCUUGGGUAGGUUCAAGACAAACUCUAUCUGUUGAAAAACAAAUCAGUCCAGGGUGGGUGAUCUGUGACGACAGUGGGUGAUUACAUGGACGAAAGGAGAUUAUGCAGGCUAAGUUAUUGGCAUGGAGUAACCACUGAAAAAUAAUAGCUGUGGUUAUUAAUCUGGGUUAAUCUGAGGUCUUUAGACAUCUAAAACAUUUAAGAAUUAGGAUACCUCAUUUUGAAUUCCACAUCAAUCAUUUCCUAUCAAUGUACCCUAAGCAAAAUUAUAAAGGAUACUGAGAUGGAAAAAGUAUCUUCUUAGUGGCUGAUAUAAGAAUUCUUCUAUAAGUCAAGCCUGACUUUGUUGAGAAGAGUUUGUUCAAAACACAAUGAAAUGGAGCAGAGGUCAGCAAACUAUGGCCUGCAGGCAAAAUACAGCCCACUUCCUGUUUUUGUCAAUAAAGUUUAAUUGAAACAGUCAUACCCAUGCAUUUAGAAACUGUCAACCUUUAGCAUUGCCUGGGCAAAGUUGAGUAGUUGCAACAAAGACCACAUAGCCUAAAAUAUUUACUAUUUGGGCCCCAAAGGGUAGAUAGAGAGUGGAUGAAAGCCACAGGA
rnacentral:lncRNA from 1 species